GACGAAAUAGUUCAAUUGGUUAGAACAUUGGAAUCAUAAUCCAAAAGCUAUAGGUUCGAAUCCUAUUUUCGUCA
rnacentral:tRNA from 1 species